UACAGAGGCCCCAAGCGUUACUGAGAAUCACUGGGUUUAAAGGGUGCGUAGGUGGCGCGUUUAAGUCCGUUGUGAAAGCCCUGGGCUCAACCCAGGAACUGCUUCGGAUACUGGCGCGCUUGAGGCUAGUAGAGGUCACUGGAACUGACGGUGGAGCGGUGAAAUGCGUAGAUAUCGUCAGGAACGCCAAUGGUGAAGACAGGUGACUGGGCUAGUUCUGACACUGAGGCACGAAAGCGUGGGGAGCGAACGGG
rnacentral:rRNA from 1 species